rnacentral:rRNA from 1 species
AGGUAAGCUACUAAGAGCGAAUGGUGGAUGCCUUGACUGGUAAAGGCGAUGAAGGACGUACUAGACUGCGAUAAGCUACGGGGAGCUGUCAAGAAGCUUUGAUCCGUAGAUUUCCGAAUGGGGCAACCCAAUGUAUAGAGAUAUACAUUACCUAUAUAGGAGCGAACGAGGGGAAUUGAAACAUCUUAGUACCCUCAGGAAAAGAAAUCAAUAGAGAUUGCGUCAGUAGCGGCGAGCGAAAGCGCAAGAGGGCAAACCCAGUGCUUGCACUGGGGGUUGUAGGACUGCAAUGUGCAAGAGGUAAGUUUAGCAGAACAUUCUGGAAAGUAUAACCAUAGAGGGUGAUAGUCCCGUAUGCGAAAAACAAACCUUAGCUAGCAGUAUCCUGAGUAGGGCGGGACACGAGGAAUCCUGUCUGAAUCCGGGUCGACCACGAUCCAACCCUAAAUACUAAUACCAGAUCGAUAGUGCACAAGUACCGUGAGGGAAAGGUGAAAAGAACUGAGGUGAUCAGAGUGAAAUAGAACCUGAAACCAUUUGCUUACAAUCAUUCAGAGCCCUAUGUAGCAAUACAGGGUGAUGGACUGCCUUUUGCAUAAUGAGCCUGCGAGUUGUGGUGUCUGGCAAGGUUAAGCAAACGCGAAGCCGUAGCGAAAGCGAGUCUGAAUAGGGCGCUUAGUCAGAUGCUGCAGACCCGAAACGAAGUGAUCUAUCCAUGAGCAAGUUGAAGCUAGUGUAAGAACUAGUGGAGGACUGAACCCAUAGGCGUUGAAAAGCCCCGGGAUGACUUGUGGAUAGGGGUGAAAGGCCAAUCAAACUUCGUGAUAGCUGGUUCUCUCCGAAAUAUAUUUAGGUAUAGCGUUGUGUCGUAAUAUAAGGGGGUAGAGCACUGAAUGGGCUAGGGCAUACACCAAUGUACCAAACCCUAUCAAACUCCGAAUACCUUAUAUGUAAUCACAGCAGUCAGGCGGCGAGUGAUAAAAUCCGUCGUCAAGAGGGAAACAACCCAGACUACCAGCUAAGGUCCCUAAAUCUUACUUAAGUGGAAAACGAUGUGAAGUUACUUAAACAACCAGGAGGUUGGCUUAGAAGCAGCCAUCCUUUAAAGAAAGCGUAAUAGCUCACUGGUCUAGUGAUUUUGCGCGGAAAAUAUAACGGGGCUAAAGUAAGUACCGAAGCUGUAGACUUAGUUUACUAAGUGGUAGGAGAGCGUUCUAUUUGCGUCGAAGGUAUACCGGUAAGGAGUGCUGGAGCGAAUAGAAGUGAGCAUGCAGGCAUGAGUAGCGAUAAUUAAUGUGAGAAUCAUUAACGCCGUAAACCCAAGGUUUCCUACGCGAUGCUCGUCAUCGUAGGGUUAGUCGGGUCCUAAGUCGAGUCCGAAAGGGGUAGACGAUGGCAAAUUGGUUAAUAU